UACGUAGGGUGCGAGCGUUGUCCGGGAAUUAUUGGGCGUAAAGAGCUCGUUAGGCGGUUUGUCGCGUCUGCUGAUGAAACCCGAGGCUCAACCUCGGGCCUGCAGUGGGUACGGGCAGACUAGAGUGCGGUAGGGGAGAUUGGAAUUCCUGGUGUAGCGGUGGAAUGCGCAGAUAUCAGGAGGAACACCAAUGGCGAAGGCAGAUCUCUGGGCCGUAACUGACGCUGAGGAGCGAAAGCAUGGGGAGCGAACAGG
rnacentral:rRNA from 1 species